rnacentral:misc_RNA from 1 species
UAGCCCUUGGAAUUUGGCUCGGCGGCAUUCAUCUCAAUUUUGCUCUAGGCUUCAUCUCCCUCUUCUACCUCUCCCUGCCCAAAGCCCUUCUGGUCUUCGCUUUACUUUUGAUAUUAGUGUUAAUUCCUGUCGACGAUAAAAGCAAAUACGGUCGCGUAUUGGCCAAAUAUAUAUGUCAAAAUGCUUGCAGCUAUUUUCCUGUUACUCUACAUGUUGAGGAUAUACAUGCCUUUG